UCGAUUAGAGUUUGAUUAUGGCUCAGGAUGAACGCUAGCGGCAGGCUUAAUACAUGCAAGUCGUGGGGCAGCAGGUCUGUAGCAAUACAGAUGCUGGCGACCGGCAAACGGGUGCGUAACACGUACGCAACCUUCCCGUUACUGGGGAAUAGCCCAGGGAAACUUGGAUUAAUACCCCAUAUUAUAUUGAUCAGGCAUCUGGUUAAUAUCAAAGCUUCGGCGGUAACGGAUGGGCGUGCGGCUGAUUAGGUAGUUGGCGGGGUAACGGCCCACCAAGCCUACGAUCAGUAGCUGAUGUGAGAGCAUGAUCAGCCACACGGGCACUGAGACACGGGCCCGACUCCUACGGGAGGCAGCAGUAAGGAAUAUUGGUCAAUGGACGAAAGUCUGAACCAGCCAUGCCGCGUGGAGGAUGAAGGUCCUCUGGAUUGUAAACUUCUUUUCUCUGGGGCGAAAAAAGCCUUUUCUAGGGCACUUGACAGUACCAGAGGAAUAAGCACCGGCUAACUCCGCGCCAGCAGCCGCGGUAAUACGGAGGGUGCAAGCGUUAUCCGGAUUCACUGGGUUUAAAGGGUGCGUAGGCGGGCAGGUAAGUCAGUGGUGAAAUCCCCGGGCUUAACUUGGGAACUGCCGUUGAUACUAUCUGUCUUGAAUAUCGUGGAGGUGAGCGGAAUAUGUCAUGUAGCGGUGAAAUGCUUAGAUAUGACAUAGAACACCCAUUGCG
rnacentral:rRNA from 1 species